CGCGGCCGCAGAGUUUGAUCAUGGCUCAGGAUGAACGCUAGCGGCAGGCUUAAUACAUGCAAGUCGAGGGGCAGCGCAGUGUAGCAAUACAUGGGCGGCGACCGGCAAACGGGUGCGGAACACGUACGCAACCUUCCCAGAACUGGUGAAUAGCCUUUCGAAAGAGAGAUUAAUACACCGUAACUUAAUGAAGUGGCAUCACUUUAUUAAUAUAGUUCCGACGGUUCUGGAUGGGCGUGCGCCUGAUUAGGUAGUUGGCGGGGUAACGGCCCACCAAGCCUACGAUCAGUAACUGGUGUGAGAGCACGACCAGUCACACGGGCACUGAGACACGGGCCCGACUCCUACGGGAGGCAGCAGUAAGGAAUAUUGGUCAAUGGACGCAAGUCUGAACCAGCCAUGCCGCGUGGAGGAUGAAGGUCCUCUGGAUUGUAAACUUCUUUUAUCGGAGAAGAAACCAGACAUUCUUGUUUGGUUGACGGUACCCGAUGAAUAAGCACCGUCUAACUCCGUGCCAGCAGCCGCGGUAAUACAGAGGGUGCAAGCGUUAUCCGGAUUCACUGGGUUUAAAGGGUGCGUAGGUGGGCUAGUAAGUCCGUGGUGAAAUCUCUGAGCUUAACUCGGAAACUGCCGUGGAUACUAUUAGUCUUGAAUCUCGUGGAGGUAAGCGGAAUAUGUCAUGUAGCGGUGA
rnacentral:rRNA from 1 species